rnacentral:misc_RNA from 1 species
GAAAUGCGAUAAGUAAUGUGAAUUGCAGAAUUCAGUGAAUCAUCGAAUCUUUGAACGCACAUUGCGCCCCUUGGUAUUCCGAGGGGCAUGCCUGUUCGAGCGUCAGUUGACCGAUCAAGCUUGGCUUGGUAUUGGGGCUCGCCUUCCAGCGGCCUCUAAACUCAGUGGCGGUGCCGUUAGGCUCUAAGCGUAGUAAUAAUCCUCGCUAUAGUGUCUCGCGGUUGCUUGCCAUAACCCAAAUUUUAUACUGGUUGACCUCGGAUCAGGUAGGGAUACCCGCUGAACUUAA